UACGUAGGGGGCAAGCGUUGUCCGGAUUUAUUGGGCGUAAAGAGCGUGUAGGCGGUUUGGUAGGUCCGCUGUGAAAACUCGAGGCUCAACCUCGAGACGCCGGUGGAAACCAUCAGGCUAGAGUCCGGAAGAGGAGAGUGGAAUUCCUGGUGUAGCGGUGAAAUGCGCAGAUAUCAGGAAGAACACCCGUGGCUAAGGCGGCUCUCUAGUACGGUACUGGACGCUGAGACGCGAAAGCGUGGGGAGCGAACAGG
rnacentral:rRNA from 1 species